UACGUAGGGCGCGAGCGUUGUCCGGAAUUAUUGGGGCGUAAAGAGCUCGUAGGCGGCCUGUCGCGUCCGCUGUGAAAUCCCGGGGCUUAACCCCGGGCCUGCAGUGGAUACGGGCAGGCUGGAGGCAGGCAGGGGAGACGGAAUUCCCGGUGUAGCGGUGAAAUGCGCAGAUAUCGGGAGGAACAUCGGUGGCGAAAGCGCUCUGCUGGACUGCAACUGACACUCAGGGACGAAAGCUAGGGGAGCGAACGGGG
rnacentral:rRNA from 1 species